rnacentral:rRNA from 1 species
AUUGAACGCUGGCGGCAGGCCUAACACAUGCAAGUCGAGCGAGCGGCGGACGGGUGAGUAAUGUAUGGGGACUGCCCGAUAGAGGGGGCUCACUACUGGAAACGGUGGCUAAUACCGCAUACUAUCGGAUAACCCAUAUGGGAUUAGCUAGUAGGUGGGGUAAAGGCUCACCAGGACGACGAUCGCUAGCUGGUCUGAGAGGAUGAUCAGCCAAACUGGGACUGAGAAACGGCCCAGACGCCUACGGUGGCAGCAGGGGGGAAUAUUGCACAAGGGGCGCAAGCCGGAUGCAGCCAGGCCGCGUGUAUGAAGAAGGCCUUAGGGUUGUAAAGUACUUUCAGCGGGGAGGCGUUACCCGCAGAAUAAGCACCGGCUAACUCCGUGCCAGCAGCCGCGGUAAUUC